UAGGCAGAAAGUGAUGGUAAUAAGCAAGCAAAAUAAAAUAGGGUUUACUCCUCAUUGUUCCCGCUCCACUUACACAGUGAAGAACAAAGAAUGUUAAAUUGAAUCCAAAACCCUAAACCCUAAUCCCAAUUUCCCAAUUUAUCGUUUUCCUUCACCUAAUUCAGUACCCAUAAAACCAUGUAUCUUUACAAUCUCACUCUUCAACGACCCACCGGAAUCAUCUGUGCCAUCAACGGCAACUUCUCCGGCGGUAAGGGUCAAGAAAUCGUCGUCGCCAGAGGCAAAACCCUAGAUCUCCUCCGCCCCGACGACAACGGACGAAUUCAAACAAUCCUCUCUGUUGAAGUCUUCGGCUCAAUUAGAUCCCUAGCUCAGUUUCGUCUCACUGGUGCUCAGAAGGAUUUCAUCGUUGUCGGUUCCGAUUCCGGUAGGAUUGUUAUUCUUGAUUACAAUAAAGAGAAAAAUGUUUUUGAUAAAAUUCAUCAAGAGACUUUUGGGAAAUCUGGUUGCCGGAGAAUUGUUCCUGGUGAGUAUAUUGCUGUAGAUCCCAAAGGUAGAGCUGUUAUGAUUGGUGCUUGUGAAAAACAGAAGCUUGUUUAUGUGUUGAAUAGAGAUACUGCUGCUAGGUUAACCAUUUCGUCUCCGUUAGAAGCUCAUAAAUCGCAUACUCUUGUGUUUUCAAUUUGUGGCGUUGAUUGUGGUUUUGAGAAUCCUAUUUUUGCUGCUAUUGAGUUGGAUUACUCUGAGGCUGAUAAUGAUUCGUCGGGUAUGGCUGCUGCUGAAGCUCAGAAGAAUUUGACAUUCUAUGAGCUUGAUUUGGGUCUUAACCAUGUUUCUAGAAAGUGGUCUGAUCAGGUUGAUAAUGGGGCAAAUUUGCUUGUUACUGUUCCUGGUGGUGCUGAUGGACCAAGUGGAGUUCUUGUUUGUGCGGAAAAUUUUGUUAUUUAUAAGAAUCAGGGGCAUCCUGAUGUUAGGGCUGUGAUUCCGAGACGUGCUGAUUUGCCUGCUGAGCGUGGCGUUCUUAUUGUUUCUGCUGCUAUGCAUAAAUUGAAGGGUGGAUUCUUUUUUCUUCUGCAGACUGAGUACGGUGAUAUCUUUAAGGCUACGUUGGAACAUGAGGGUGAUCGGAUUUCUGAAUUGAAGAUUAAGUAUUUUGAUACCAUUCCUGUUACUUCUUCAAUGUGUGUGCUCAAGUCGGGGUUCUUGUUUGCGGCGUCUGAGUUUGGAAACCAUGGUCUGUAUCAGUUUAAGGGAAUAGGGGACGAUGAUGAUGUCGAGGCUUCGUCUGCGAGCCUGAUGGAAACUGAAGAGGGUUUUCAGCCUGUGUUUUUCCAGCCCAGGAAACUGAAAAACCUUGUUAGGAUUGACCAGGUUGAGAGUUUGAUGCCAAUUACAGAUAUGAAGGUCAGCAAUCUGUUUGAAGAGGAGACUCCUCAAAUUUUUACUCUUUGUGGGCGUGGACCUCGAUCUUCUCUGAGGAUAUUGAGAACAGGUUUGGCUGUUAGUGAGAUGGCAGUUUCCAAGCUUCCCGGUGUACCUAGUGCUGUUUGGACUGUGAAGAAGAAUGUUAUUGAUGAGUUUGAUGCUUAUAUUGUUGUUUCGUUCACCAAUGCCACACUCGUGCUUUCCAUUGGUGAGACAGUCGAAGAAGUCAGUGACAGCGGAUUUUUGGACACUACUCCAUCCCUUUCGGUUUCUUUGAUAGGUGAUGAUUCUCUCAUGCAAGUUCAUCCAAAUGGUAUUAGGCAUAUCAGGGAGGAUGGCCGUAUAAAUGAGUGGAGAACUCCUGGAAAGAGGACAAUUGCAAAAGUUGGGUCGAAUAGACUUCAGGUGGUUAUUGCUCUAAAUGGAGGGGAGCUUAUAUAUUUUGAAGUGGAUGUAACUGGUCAGUUGAUGGAGGUGGAGAAGCAUGAAAUGUCUGGCGAUGUUGCUUGUUUGGACAUUGCUCCAGUGCCCGAAGGAAGACAAAGAUCCCGUUUUCUUGCAGUUGGAUCAUAUGACAAGACAAUCCGAAUCUUAUCACUGGAUCCUGAUGAUUGUAUGCAGACUCUAGGUAUACAGAGUCUUUCUUCAGCUCCAGAAUCGCUUCUUUUCCUUGAAGUUCAAGCAUCUGUUGGCGGUGAGGAUGGGGCAGAUCACCCCGCUAGCCUUUUCCUGAACGCUGGUUUGCAGAAUGGUGUACUAUCUAGAACUGUGGUGGAUAUGGUCACAGGUCUGCUUUCUGAUUCUCGAUCCCGAUUCUUAGGAUUGAGACCCCCAAAGCUGUUUCCCAUUAUUGUAAGAGGGAAGCGUGCUAUGCUCUGCCUGUCAAGUCGCCCUUGGCUUGGUUACAUUCACCAAGGACACUUCCUUUUAACACCCCUUUCGUAUGAAACCCUUGAAUUUGCUGCCUCAUUUUCAUCUGACCAAUGUGUGGAAGGUGUAGUUGCUGUUGCUGGUGAGGCGUUGAGAAUUUUUACCAUUGAAAGAUUAGGAGAAACAUUUAAUGAGACAGUUAUUCCACUUAGAUACACGCCUAGGAAAUUUGUGCUGCAACCCAAACGGAAACUUUUGGUGGUGAUUGAGAGUGAUCAAGGAGCAUUUACUGCAGAAGAGCGUGAAGCUGCAAAGAAAGAGUGUUUUGAGGCUGCUCAAGCUGGGGAAAAUGGGACAGAAAGUGCAGACCAAAUGGAGAAUGGCGGGGAGGAUGAGGAUAAAGAUGACCCCCUCUCUGAUGAGCAUUAUGGUUAUCCAAAAGCUGAAUCAGAUAAGUGGGCAUCCUGCAUCAGAAUUCUUGAUCCAAAAACAGGAAAUACAACCUGUCUUUUGGAGCUUCAGGAUAAUGAGGCUGCAUUCAGCGUAUGCACAGUAAAUUUUCAUGAUAAAGAAUACGGAACUCUUUUAGCCGUUGGCACAGCAAAGGGACUGCAAUUUACGCCCAGAAGGAGUUUAACUGCUGGAUUUAUUCAUAUAUAUAGGUUUCUAGAGGAUGGAAGAUCUCUUGAACUACUUCACAAAACUCAGGUUGAAGGUGUUCCUCUUGCUCUUAGUCAGUUUCAGGGAAGAUUACUUGCAGGAAUAGGACCUGUUCUCAGGUUAUAUGAUUUGGGAAAAAGACGGUUAUUAAGGAAGUGUGAGAAUAAGCUAUUCCCCAACACAAUUGUCUCUAUUCAAACCUACCGUGAUCGAAUUUAUGUUGGGGACAUUCAAGAGUCUUUCCAUUACUGCAAGUAUAGACGGGAUGAAAAUCAACUCUACAUAUUUGCUGAUGAUUGUGUUCCAAGAUGGCUUACUGCAUCAUACCACAUAGAUUUCGAUACCAUGGCAGGUGCAGACAAGUUUGGAAAUAUCUAUUUUGUGCGGUUGCCGCAGGACGUGUCUGAUGAGAUAGAAGAAGAUCCUACUGGUGGGAGGAUCAAGUGGGAGCAGGGGAAGCUGAAUGGAGCUCCCAAUAAGGUAGAAGAAAUUGUGCAAUUUCAUGUUGGUGAUGUGAUCUCAUGCCUGCAAAAGGCCUCUCUUAUACCAGGUGGUGGAGAGUGCAUUUUAUAUGGAACAGUUAUGGGAAGUAUUGGAGCAUUACAUGCUUUUACUUCACGAGAUGAUGUUGAUUUCUUCUCUCAUUUGGAGAUGCAUAUGAGGCAGGAUAAUCCACCUUUGUGUGGAAGAGAUCAUAUGGCUUAUAGAUCCGCCUAUUUUCCUGUUAAGGAUGUUAUUGAUGGGGACCUAUGUGAGCAAUUCCCAACAUUGCCAAUGGAUUUGCAGAGAAAAAUUGCUGAUGAAUUGGACAGGACCCCUGGAGAAAUACUGAAGAAACUUGAGGAAGUACGAAAUAAGAUUAUUUAAGAAAUUAUCAUUAGAGAACUUCAACAAUGACCAACAGAUCAUUUUUGAACAAGGGGAAAAUUCUGCGCUAGUCAAAUGUUGAUAUGGUGUUGGUGAAAGGAAUCGUGUUAUUUGAGUAAGCCGUUUGCCCUUGGUCCCUAACAAAGUGAAGAAAGCAUGGGUUUAGUGAAGAAAGCACGGGUUUCUUAUUCAUACGGGAAGGCGGAAGCUGUGAUUUAUUGUCCCGUUUAUGACUGUUUUAUUUUUAGAGACAAAUGUUAUUGGCGUAUGUUAGUUUUCUGAGAUUGAACUUUGGACCUCUAGUAACUUAGUACUUCUUUAGUGUCCCUCUGUUCGCCAAUCAGGCUGCCUAUUUGGGAUUUAUUUAUGACUUUGUGCGGUAUCUGUAGUUUGUAUCAGUUAAAGUUAAAGUUACUGAUAAUUUUAUGUUGUAAUUACUGAUAAUUAACUGUUAGUUUCAUGCUUUGUGGAUGUCAUAACA